rnacentral:rRNA from 1 species
AGAGCGAACGCUGGCGGCGUACUUAGCACAUGCAAGUCGAACGGGGAUCGUCGGGUUAGCAAUAAUUCGGCGGUCCUAGUGGCGUACGGGUGAGUAACACGUGGGCAACUUGCCCUUGAGACCGGGAUACCCUCUCGAAAGGGAGGCUAAUACUGGAUACGUUCUUCGGAUCGCAAGAUCUGGAGAGGAAAGGUGGCGCAAGCUACCGCUCUUGGAGAGGCUCGCGGCCUAUCAGCUAGUUGGUGAGGUAAUGGCUCACCAAGGCUAUGACGGGUAGCUGGUCUGAGAGGACGACCAGCCACACGGGAACUGAGACACGGUCCCGACUCCUACGGGAGGCAGCAGUGGGAAUUUCCGCAAUGGGCGAAAGCCUGACGGAGUGACGCCGCGUGGGGGACGAAGGCCUUCGGGUUGUAAACCCCUGUCAGAGGAAAGAAGGUGUCGGCGUGAUAACCGCGGCACUGACGUACUUCAGAGAAGCCCGGCCAACUCUAGUGCCAGCAGCCGA